rnacentral:rRNA from 1 species
AAUGAACGCUAGCGGGAUGCUUUACACAUGCAAGUCGAACGAGUGGCGGACGGGUGAGUAAUAUAUCGGAACGUGCCCAGUAGCGGGGGAUAACUACACGAAAGAGUGGCUAAUACCGCAUACUAUUAGAGUGGACGAUAUCGGAUUAGCUAGUUGGUGGGGUAAAGGAUAACCAAGGCAACGAUCCGUAGUUGGUUUGAGAGGACGACCAGCCACACUGGGACUGAGAAACGGUCCAGACUCCUACGGGAGGCAGCAGUGGUGAAGUUUGGACAAUGGGGGAAACCCGUAUCCAGCCAUCCCGCGUGUAUGAGAAGGCCUUCGGGUUGUAAAGUGCUUUUGGCAGAGAAGCGGUAUCUGCAGAAUAAGCACCGGCUAACUACGUGCAAGCAGCCGCGGUAAUUC